GACGAACGCUGGCGGCGUGCUUAACACAUGCAAGUCGAGCGGUAAGGCCCUUUCGGGGGUACGACGAGCGGCGAACGGGUGAGUAACACGUGGGUGACCUGCCCUCAGCUCUGGGAUAAGCCUGGGAAACCGGGGUCUAAUACCGGAUAUGACUCCAUGACGCAUGUUGUGGGGUGGAAAGCCUUGUGCGGCUGAGGAUGGGCCCGCGGCCUAUCAGCUUGUUGGUGGGGUGANGGCCUACCAAGGCGACGACGGGUAGCCGGCCUGAGAGGGCGACCGGCCACACUGGGACUGAGACACGGCCCAGACUCCUACGGGAGGCAGCAGUGGGGAAUCUUGCGCAAUGGGCGAAAGCCUGACGCAGCGACGCCGCGUGAGGGAU
rnacentral:rRNA from 1 species